rnacentral:rRNA from 1 species
AUACGUAGGUGACAAGCGUUAUCCGGAUUUACUGGGCGUAAAGGGCGUGUAGGCGGUCUUGCAAGUCAGAAGUGAAAUUCCUGAGCUCAACUCGGGCGCUGCUUCUGAAACUGCAGGACUUGAGUGCUGGAGGGGAUGGCGGAAUUCCUAGUGGAGCGGUAAAAUGCGCAGAUAUUAGGAAGAACACCGGUGGCGAAGGCGGCUAUCUGGACACGAACUGACGCUGAGGCGCGAAAGCGUGGGGAGAAAACAGGAUUAGAUACCCUGGUAUUCCACGCCGUAAACGAUGUAUACUAGGUGUAUGGGGUAUCGACUCCCUCUGUGCCGCAGUGAACACAAUAAGUAUUCCGCCUGGGGAGUACGGCCGCAAGGUUGAAACUCAAAUGAAUUGACGGGG